rnacentral:rRNA from 1 species
AUUGAACGCUGGCGGCAGGCCUAACACAUGCAAGUCGAACGGUAACAGGAAGCAGCUUGCUGCUUUGCUGACGAGUGGCGGACGGGUGAGUAAUGUCUGGGAAACUGCCCGAUGGAGGGGGAUAACUACUGGAAACGGUAGCUAAUACCGCAUAACGUCGCAAGACCAAAGAGGGGGACCUUAGGGCCUCUUGCCAUCGGAUGUGCCCAGAUGGGAUUAGCUAGUAGGUGGGGUAACGGCUCACCUAGGCGACGAUCCCUAGCUGGUCUGAGAGGAUGACCAGCCACACUGGAACUGAGACACGGUCCAGACUCCUACAGGAGGCAGCAGUGGGGAAUAUUGCACAAUGGGCGCAAGCCUGAUGCAGCCAUGCCGCGUGUAUGAAGAAGGCCUUCGGGUUGUAAAGUACUUUCAGCGGGGAGGAAGGGAGUAAAGUUAAUACCUUUGCUCAUUGACGUUACCCGCAGAAGAAGCACCGGCUAACUCCGUG